UUCGGCCUAUUCGGUCGUCGGGUCCCAUUGCUAGAUGGUUACUUCGAUUAGUGCAGGAAGUGUUCUUGUACUACCGGCUUAGGUUCGAACCUGUGAGGUCAUACGCUUAGAAGUUUCAGGAUUGAUCAAAUGGCUGAUUGACGAUUGAGAAUCGUCUAGAGGUAAAAUAGUCAAUGUGAUUGACUGAUUGUCCUAAGCAAUUGUUGCUUGGAGAAGUUAAUUGGUGAUUAGAUCACUGAUUAGACUCAAUUUGAUUGAGUAAUAGAGAUUGGGCUUGACCAAAUUCAAAUAUGAUUUGAAAUUGGUAAAACCGUAAUUGACACCAAAAUUGGUUUGGUGAAAAUGUCUAAUUUGCUCAACCAAAUCAGAUUUGGCUUGAGUCAAAUUGGAUUAAAAUCAAUUAUGAUCCUAGUAUGACUAGGAUUUUCUUCCCUAUGUGGGACCCACAUACACUUCCUUCCCUAUGUGGGACCCACAUACUGUAUGUGGGACCCACGUCCUGCCUAGGUGGGACCCACAUACUGUAUGUGGGACCCAUGUCCUGCUUAGGUGGGACCCACAUACUAUAUGUGGGACCCACAUCCCGGCCACAUCACCCCUUUGCAUGCGUGACACGUGGCGGAGCAGGAUACCUCUUUUGCUUGCAUGUGUGACAUGUGGCGGGCCUGGACACCUCACACUCUUCCUGAUGUCAUCCAUGACCUCAUCUGCCUCAUGAGGUCAUCCAUGACAUCGCCCUCCAGGCCACCUCACCCCUUUGCAUGCGUGACACGUGGCGGAGCAGGACAUCUCUCUUUCUUGCAUGUGUGACAUGUGUCCUGGCAGGACACCUCACAGGACACCUCAUAGGGACACCUCACCUUCUUCUUGGCCUAUAAAUAAGCCACCCCUCUUCCUUCUUCUUAACACAUGAAGAGCACCAGAGAAAGAGAGUGAGAGGAGAGAGUAGUUCUGAAGGUGAAAGCCCNNNNNNNNNNNNNNNNNNNNNNNNNNNNNNNNNNNNNNNNNNNNNNNNNNNNNNNNNNNNNNNNNNNNNNNNNNNCCAGCACUCCCCGGGAGCUGAUCAUUCCAGAGCUUCGCGUGGACGAGUCAUCGAGGCCGGACGCUUGUGCGACUGCGAAGCAUCCUUGAAGGAACCCCCUUCUAAAGGUAAGAGACCUGAUCUCUUUUACGGUUGAGAUAUGAUCUCAAUCUUCAAAACACAAGAAGUUGUGAUUUAUGCAUAUUUAUUCGAAUCACACAAUCCUCGGGAUCUGAGGGCUUUGUGAUAUUUGGUGUCAAAGCAAAGGAUUAGUGGAGACUAUCCGAUUCUCGGGAACUCUCACGCGUGAUCGUGUGACGAAGCGUGGCUCUCCACCCGGGGGCUCAUAUGAUGAGUGCUUUGAUAGGCACGUACGGGUGUCACCCUAUGUAUUGGGACUGAGCCCGUGCCACAUGUGAUGUACAGUUGAAGAUUGUCUUCGACUGGUACCAGAGUUAAAAUAUCUAAAAUAUCAAGCAUGUUAUGGGUUAAAAUGUUUAACCCGUUCUUUCCGCAUAAAAAUUUUCUGAAAUUCAUGCUUAGCCCUCUGCACGCAUACUAUCAGUG
rnacentral:lncRNA from 1 species